rnacentral:lncRNA from 1 species
CUCUGGUGCCAUUUGCUUUCACAGAUAUCAAGACAUAUCCAGAGCCCUUAUUGGGGUACUAGUGGAUGGGUCAAUAGAGGCUUCUGCAAGUCCCUCUGGGCAGAGACGGCACAGGACAGUUCUGUGUACACAGUAGGGACCGUCAUUCCAUGGCAGCCCUGUGGGACUCAGCAGAACUCUAGGCACUGCUGGGCACAGUGGCCAUACCUCAUCCUUGAUUCUGAGAGGCCAAAGCAGGAGAAUUUGAAGCUUUCAGCUAACCUGGACUAUAAAACAAAACUUGGCAUAGUGGCACACAUGUAAUUCUGGCACUUUGGAGAUGGAGGCAGA